UGCUGUGGUUCAGUGGUAGAGCCCCUGCCUAGCAAGCACUAGGUUCUGAGUUCAAAUCCCAGUACUGCAA
rnacentral:tRNA from 1 species